CCUACGGGUGGCAGCAGUGAGGAAUAUUGGUCAAUGGGCGUAAGCCUGAACCAGCCAAGUCGCGUGAGGGAUGAAGGUUCUAUGGAUCGUAAACCUCUUUUAUAAGGGGAUAAAGUGUGGGACGUGUCCUGUUUUGUAUGUACCUUAUGAAUAAGGAUCGGCUAACUCCGUGCCAGCAGCCGCGGUAAUACGGAGGAUCCGAGCGUUAUCCGGAUUUAUUGGGUUUAAAGGGUGCGUAGGCGGCCUUUUAAGUCAGCGGGGAAAGUCUGUGGCUCAAACAUAGAAUUGCCGUUGAAACUGGGAGGCUUGAGUAUGUUUGAGGCAGGCGGAAGGCGUGGGGGAGCGGGGAAAUGCUUAGAUAUCACGCAGAACCACGAGUGCGAAGGCAGCCUGCCAAGACAUGACUGACGCUGAUGCACGAAAGCGUGGGGAUCAAACAGGAUUAGAUACCCGGGUAGUC
rnacentral:rRNA from 1 species